rnacentral:rRNA from 1 species
ACGAACGCUGGCGGCGUGCCUAAUACAUGCAAGUAGAACGCUGAAGAGAGGAGCUUGCUCUUCUUGGAUGAGUUGCGAACGGGUGAGUAACGCGUAGGUAACCUGCCUUGUAGCGGGGGAUAACUAUUGGAAACGAUAGCUAAUACCGCAUAACAAUGGAUGACACAUGUCAUUUAUUUGAAAGGGGCAAUUGCUCCACUACAAGAUGGACCUGCGUUGUAUUAGCUAGUAGGUGAGGUAACGGCUCACCUAGGCGACGAUACAUAGCCGACCUGAGAGGGUGAUCGGCCACACUGGGACUGAGACACGGCCCAGACUCCUACGGGAGGCAGCAGUAGGGAAUCUUCGGCAAUGGGGGCAACCCUGACCGAGCAACGCCGCGUGAGUGAAGAAGGUUUUCGGAUCGUAAAGCUCUGUUGUAAGUCAAGAACGAGUGUGAGAGUGGAAAGUUCACACUGUGACGGUAGCUUACCAGAAAGGGACGGCUAACUACGUGCCAGCAGCCGCGGUAAUACGUAGGUCCCGAGCGUUGUCCGGAUUUAUUGGGCGUAAAGCGAGCGCAGGCGGUUUGAUAAGUCUGAAGUUAAAGGCUGUGGCUCAACCAUAGUUCGCUUUGGAAACUGUCAAACUUGAGUGCAGAAGGGGAGAGUGGAAUUCCAUGUGUAGCGGUGAAAUGCGUAGAUAUAUGGAGGAACACCGGUGGCGAAAGCGGCUCUCUGGUCUGUAACUGACGCUGAGGCUCGAAAGCGUGGGGAGCGAACAGGAUUAGAUACCCUGGUAGUCCACGCCGUAAACGAUGAGUGCUAGGUGUUGGAUCCUUUCCGGGAUUCAGUGCCGCAGCUAACGCGUUAAGCACUCCGCCUGGGGAGUACGACCGCAAGGUUGAAACUCAAAGGAAUUGACGGGGGCCCGCACAAGCGGUGGAGCAUGUGGUUUAAUUCGAAGCAACGCGAAGAACCUUACCAGGUCUUGACAUCCCGAUGCUAUUUCUAGAGAUAGAAAGUUACUUCGGUACAUCGGUGACAGGUGGUGCAUGGUUGUCGUCAGCUCGUGUCGUGAGAUGUUGGGUUAAGUCCCGCAACGAGCGCAACCCCUAUUGUUAGUUGCCAUCAUUCAGUUGGGCACUCUAGCGAGACUGCCGGUAAUAAACCGGAGGAAGGUGGGGAUGACGUCAAAUCAUCAUGCCCCUUAUGACCUGGGCUACACACGUGCUACAAUGGUUGGUACAACGAGUUGCGAGUCGGUGACGGCAAGCUAAUCUCUUAAAGCCAAUCUCAGUUCGGAUUGUAGGCUGCAACUCGCCUACAUGAAGUCGGAAUCGCUAGUAAUCGCGGAUCAGCACGCCGCGGUGAAUACGUUCCCGGGCCUUGUACACACCGCCCGUCACACCACGAGAGUUUGUAACACCCGAAGUCGGUGAGGUAACCUUUUGGAGCCAGCCGCCUAAGGUGGGAUAGAUGAUUGGGGUG